UCCUUCCCCAGAAGUUCCAUCAUCUGGGGAUCACGUACUCAAAUAUAUGAGCCUAUGGGGCCAUUCUCAUUCAAACAACCAGAAGUGGGUAGAAAUCCUGUACGAAUUAAGAGUUCUUAAUGGACAAUGCCAUGUCCUUAGACAGUACUGAAUUAAAGUUAAUUAAAACUAUACCAAAGGAACUAUCAAGGCAUUUCACCAGCGUGUACCCUGCUGUGAGAUAUGUGAAAUACUGGACACUGCAAGGUGGAUGAGCAAUUAUUAGAGCUCCGUCAGCUUCUAAACAGAGGGACAAGCUUCAUGCCUGGCAAGAAGAAGAGUGGAAAUGCAUCCAGGAGGGAGCCUGUCUGCCGGGGCACUGAGAUGGAAAAUUCACAGUCUAUGGAAGUUUUCACAGAGAUUUCAAGAUAACAGAGAUAACAACGGCUUGUUUUGCUGUUUUCCUGCAUUCAAAAGCAGAUACCCACUAUGCACACUUUGAAGUUUUUCAUAAGGUUUUGAAACAGGAGCUGUUUCAUGGAGGCUGCAGAUUUGCAUAUAAUAGCGUAAAACAAACUUUUGACAGAGAGAAAUGGAUUGCACAUGAAAGACGGUAAAGGACUGGCCUCAUCGCUUCAUCUCCUGACCUCACCAAGCAAGAAUCUUCUCCAAGCCAUGAAUAAUCAUGCGGAUUUUACCUCGGCAAUGCUAUCAGGGAGGCAAAAGAUGGAACAACAAAGCCUUUUGACAUCCGGCAGGAGUUAUGGAUCCCAUUCUGGCAUGAAGCACCAGGGCAGAUUCAUACGUCCAGCGCAUGUCUAAACCUCACCAAAGUACAGCAGAAGACAGACUUGUUGGCUUUAUCAAGAGCUACAUUGUUUGAAGGUUAACAAGCAACUAAUGCUUUAUUUUUAAAAUAUUAACUAUAAAGGUAUGUGGGUUUUAUUCCCACUUUAAGUGUUACCUAUAGGCAGCAGAGUGUUAAAUGAUUUAAUGAAUUUUAGGGCAAAAACUGAAAAAUUUCCUUCACAGUAUACAGGAGUUAUGGGAAGGUAAUGUCAGAUAAUUUCAAGUUCAAAGGCUUAAUUUGAAUGUAUUCAUUAAUUUGAAUAUAAAACUUUUACGAAUAUCUGUUAUGUGGCACUGAAUGUUAUUUAAGCUACAAAAAUAAAAAUGACAGACAUAUAGACCAAUGGGACAGAAUAGAGAUUACAGAAGAAAACUCUUGCAUCAGCAGCCAGUUGAUUUUUGACAAAGGUGUUAAGAAAAUGCAUUGGGAAAAGAGAGUAUUUCAGCAAAUAUUGCUGGGAAGUUUGGAUAGCCACAUAUAGAUAAUCAGAACCAGAUCCUUUUCUUUUUCUGUAUAUAAUAAUUAACUCCAAGUUGAUUAGACACCUACAUGUAAAUCGUGAAACUAUGACAUUACAAUAAGAAAACAUAGAGGAAAGACUUCAGGACAUUAGACAAAAAACACAACUGCAGACUAACAAAUGGGACUUCAUGGAAUGAAACAGAUUCUGCACAACAAGGGAAUAAUAAAGGGGAAGGAUUUAACACAUGGGUUAGAAGAACACUCUUUCCAACAAACAUCUGACAAGUCUCGAUAGACUAUACACAGAACUCAAAUAACUCAACAGCAAAACAUGAAAUAAUCCUAUUAAAAAUAUGCAGCAGACCCAAAUAGAAACGUUUCAAAGGAAGAUGUCGAUGUGGACAACAUAUUCUCAGGACCACUCUUCACCAGGGAAACUAAGGUCAAAAUCACUCCCAAUGAGCUAUAACUUCAGUAGUAAAAACAGCUGCCAUCUGAAGAUUAAAGUGAAAAGCAUUAGUGAGCGUGUGUGUGAUGCGAAGGAGAGAGACCCUCGUGUACAUUGGUGGGAUUGUAAAUUAGUAUAGCUAUAAUGCCAAACAGUGUGGCAGUUCCUUAAAAAACUAAAAUAGAGGUGCCAAUGACGUAGUAAUCCUUCUUCUAUGUGUAUUCAAAAGAAAAGAAAACAGUAUUGGAAGGAUCAUCUCCAUGUCAAGUUCAAUGUGGUCUAAUUCACAGGAUCCAAGAAUGAAAAGAACCCAAACAACCAUCAAUUGACACAUGGAAAAAAAAACUACCUAUGUACAAGAGAAUGAUGUCCACGAAGGAUGUGAGCUCGCCACUGUGACACAAUGGCUAGAAGUAGAGGUCAUUGUGUUGACAUAAGCUAGAUACAACUACCCCAUGACAGCACUCAAAUGUGGAAUCUAAAAAUGCUGCUCUCACGGUAGGUGAGGAUGAGAUGUGGGUUGUCAGAUCCUGGGGUGAAUGUGUAGGCAGAGCUAUGGGGAAGGGUUAGCUGGUGAAUAACAAGUUAUUGUUAGAAGUAAAUACUGUUCUGGUGUGUUGGUGCAGAGCAAACAAAAUAUAAAUUAUAUGGAUAAUUACAACAUGCUAUAUGUUUUUCCCUAAAAGUUAGAAGAAAGGAUUUUGAGGGUUUUGACUGUACAGAGGUGAUGGAUGUUUGAGGAGAUUACCCAGAUUUUAAUAUUACUAAAUAUGUAUAUGAAACAAAAUAUCAUCUUGUAACCUGUAAUAGAUACAUGUUUUCGUAUUAUUUAAAGUAAUAAUGAAAAAGAAGUUUAAGUGUUAAUUUAAAACACUAAGAAUGGUUCUCGAUUUUGGAGUUUGUAGUUGGUUUUGAGUUUUGAAGGUGUUUCUGGGGAAGAGAUUCUGUGUAGAGAAUAUAACAAGGAUGAAGUAAAGUUUGUUUUCUUGCUAGACAGAGCUAGAAAUAUGAAGUUUAUUGGAUAAUGGCUGACAAAAUCAAAUAGAAAUACUUAUUUUUUUUGUCAGCGAGAUAGAAAUCACCAUCAAUAUCAAAUAAAACUUCUAUCCAUAAAAAAACAAAAAAGAUCUUUUAAAGACACAGCUUCUUCCUAUCUUCCCCAUGGAAGCUAUAUCAUUCGCUCUCUUGGUUAUUUUCUGGGGUGCAUUUCCACAUCCUUCCCACAGGAAGCAGACAUGCUCUUGGUUAAAGAUAACUAAGUUGAGCACAGGAUGUUUAAACUCAUGAUGUUUGGAAUAUGUGCUGACAGGUCAAGGGUACAGAAGAAACCUUUGCAGAGUUUGUUUGUGGCUUAAAACUUAAGUGUAGCUUUAUGAAGUUGAAUAAAAACCACUGCAAAAUAAGAUAAGAAAAGAGUUUGAUUUAAAAUAGGUUAAGAAGGAAGAACCUGGCUUAAAAAAAAAAACAAAAAAACAAAAAAAAAAAUAAAACCCCAUAGAAUCUCACCCAGACAGAGGGCAGCUGAAGCAGUUUUUCUAAUUUAUAUGAAAAUGUGAGGUGUCUUAGUGUCCUUAUGGGUUAGCAUUCAAAUCACUUCUACACAGUGAUAACCCAUUCAUUUAAAUUAUGCUCAGAAAGGCAACCCGAUGGUAAGAAGUUCUUUGGAAUCUGCAUAAAGUUCUAGAAUAACUUCCAAAUUUUGCUUUUCUGCAUGUGGAUGAGUUGAUGUGGUAUCUGAAAUACGGAAGGAAGGCACGUGCCUCUUUCCUGACUUUGGAAUGGCUGACUCAGUGUCUGAGCUAUGGACUGGGUACGCAUAGCCUGUGCCCGUCCUUUAAGGCAUUCAUUCCCACCCAGCACUGCGGCCUCCCAAGUGGCUCUGUAACACAUCCCAGUACCUAGCUGCUGUCUGUCAUGGCUGAUCUGAGAUCUGACCAUAAACUCGGAAAUGUUUUCAUUUCACCUCAUGGUUAUAUGCGAUUAUACUAGGAGGAACACUUUGUACUGGGCAGUUUACGGGACAACGGAAAAGCCUUGCUGAACACCUUUUUUAUGCUUAUUGAACACCUGUGCUCCCAUGUCUUUAUUCCUAGGAUUAUUUUGUUUAAUACAGUGAUCUCUAGUUAGAUUCAUUUUCCUAUAAAUGCCAUGUUUUCAUUUUUUUCUUUAAGCUAAUAGCAUUCAUUGAGUAUUUGCACCACAUAGUCUUUAUCCAUUUGUCUGCCAAUGAGAAUUGAGAUUUUAUUUCCUGGCUGUUGGGAACAAUGCAGCUAGACACACAGAUGUAUAAAAAUGUAUUGCUAUGUUGACUUUGAUAUCUUUGGAUACGUACUUGAAUUUCAUAGCUAGGCAAUAUGGUAAUUCUAUUUUUUUUCUUUUUAAAAGAAACUGUACACUGAUUUCCAAAGUAGUAAACAAGGAUUUCUCUUUCCCUAUGUCUUUGCCCACAUUUAUUGUCUCAUGUUUCCUUGAUAGUUUUUUUCUCUGUGUGGACAGACUUUUAAAGCAGGUUUCAUUUGCAUUUUUCUAAUGGCUGAAGAUGAAUAAACAAAAAAUUCAUCUAUGAAAAAGCCCCCCCUAUUUCAAAAUGGGAGAAAAUGAUCAAUAUUUAUCUCACAUGGAAUUAUUUACAAUUUAUUUAAAAUAUUUUAUCUUCAUGUGUGGUAUAUAUAAGGCAGCUUUUAUGAGUGUCUGCUUUUAAUUACUAAUGACCUUUACCGUUUGUUUAAUAGAAACAUAUUUUUACAAUGUCCAUCAACUGAAGCCUAAAUAAAAUAAACUGCAUUUUAUUAUGA